rnacentral:piRNA from 1 species
UGAUGAAAAUGCAAAACCAAA